GUGCUUGCUUCAAUAGCACAUAUGCUAAAAGUGGAAUGAUACAGAAAUGAUUAGCAUUGCCCCUGCACAAGGAUAACACACGAAUUUGUGAAGCAUUCCAUAUUUUU